GUGAGGAAUCUUGCGCAAUGGGCGAAAGCCUGACGCAGCGACGCCGCGUGGAGGAUGAAGGUCUUCGGAUUGUAAACUCCUGUCGAGUGGGACGAAUGCCAUGAGGGUGAACAGCCCUCGUGGUUGACGGUACCGCUGGAGGAAGCCCCGGCUAACUCCGUGCCAGCAGCCGCGGUAAUACGGAGGGGGCCAGCGUUGUUCGGAAUCAUUGGGCGUAAAGGGCGCGUAGGCGGCCGAUCAAGUCGGAGGUGAAAUCCCUCGGCUCAACUGAGGAAAUGCCUCCGAUACUGUUCGGCUUGAGUCCUGGAGAGGGUAGUGGAAUUCCCAGUGUAGCGGUGAAAUGCGUAGAGACUGGGAAGAACACCAGUGGCGAAGGCGGCUACCUGGACAGGUACUGACGCUGAAGCGCGAAAGCUAGGGGAGCAAACAGGAUUAGAUACCCGAGUAGUCC
rnacentral:rRNA from 1 species